rnacentral:tRNA from 1 species
UGGCUCAGUUGGUAUAGCAUGGUGCUUGCAAUGCCAGGGUUGUGGGUUUGAUUCCCAU